GACGUAGGAUGCGAGCGUUGUCCGGAUUUAUUGGGCGUAAAGAGUUCGUAGGUGGUUUGUUAAGUCUGACGUUAAAGACUGGGGCUCAACCUCGGAAAUGCGUUGGAUACUGGCAGACUUGAGUGCAGUAGAGGCAAGCGGAAUUCCAGGUGUAGCGGUGAAAUGCGUAGAUAUCUGGAAGAACACCGGUGGCGCAAGCGGCUUGCUGGGCUGUAACUGACACUGAGGAACGAAAGCUAGGGGAGCGAAUGGG
rnacentral:rRNA from 1 species